GAUCCUGGCUCAGGAUGAACGCUAGCUACAGGCUUAACACAUGCAAGUCGCGGGGCAGCACUGGGGUUGCUCGCAACCCCUGGUGGCGACCGGCGCACGGGUGCGUAACGCGUAUCCAACCUGCCCCACAGCGGGGCAUAGCCCGGCGAAAGUCGGAUUAAUGCCCCAUGUUCUCCGCGGCGGGCAUCUAAUGCGGAGCAAAGGCCUUUUUGGCCGCUAUGGGAUGGGGAUGCGUACGAUUAGCUUGACGGCGGGGUGACGGCCCACCGUGGCGACGAUCGUUAGGGGUUCUGAGAGGAAGGUCCCCCACACUGGUACUGAGACACGGACCAGACUCCUACGGGAGGCAGCAGUGAGGAAUAUUGGUCAAUGGCCGAGGGGCUGAACCAGCCAAGUAGCGUGCGGGACGACGGCCCUACGGGUUGUAAACCGCUUUUCCGCGGGGAUAAAGUGCUCCACUUGUGGGGCAUUGCAGGUACCGCGUGAAUAAGGACCGGCUAAUUCCGUGCC
rnacentral:rRNA from 1 species